rnacentral:rRNA from 1 species
UACGUAGGGUGCAAGCGCUAAUCGGAAUUACUGGGCGUAAAGCGUGCGCAGGCGGUUAUGUAAGACAGUUGUGAAAUCCCCGGGCUCAACCUGGGAACUGCAUCUGUGACUGCAUAGCUAGAGUACGGUAGAGGGGGAUGGAAUUCCGCGUGUAGCAGUGAAAUGCGUAGAUAUGCGGAGGAACACCGAUGGCGAAGGCAAUCCCCUGGACCUGUACUGACGCUCAUGCACGAAAGCGUGGGGAGCAAACAGG